rnacentral:lncRNA from 1 species
GUGCUGAACACCCAGAACCUCUGUCACCCCAACCUGACAGUUUAAGGUCCAGGUGCCACCAAACACCUCCACUUUUUUUCCCCGUCUUUAAGGAGAAGAGCGGCCUCGCCGCCGCGCGUGGUAAUCUGCUGUGUCAUGAGGCUGCGAGUUCAACCCUUGCCGAAUCCGUGCUGGGGUGGAACCCAACGCCUGACCUGCUCUGCGCGAGCGCUCUCCCACGUCCUCGCUGGGAGGCUGGCGGGUCUCGGUGUGGGGGGCCUCCCCCUCCCAAACUGGGGAAACUCCCGCCCAUGCUCUGCAGAGCGUCCCCCUGUGUCGCCUUCCAGGGGCCCCCAAACCCCCCCGAGAGACGCCAGGCAGGUUCCGCACUCACGUCAAAGAGCAGGCGAGACAUUUAACCAACUACUGACAAACCAAACCAGGUGGGAGACAGGCGAGAGACCCCGUCCCAGGGCCGGCCGGCGGGACACGGCUCCCCGCAGCCAGAGGACGGGGACGCAGAGCCCUGGCACCCAGCGAGCGCUCUGCGCCCGGCCAAGGCCACUCGCUGACAUACUGCAGCUUCCAGCAAUUUUCUACACAGGACGGUCGUGCAGGGACAAGAGCGCUGAAGUCCCCCCCUCCCGCCAGCCGUGCCCUCCACACACGACUGGCUCAGCCCCGGCCAGGGACGUGCCUGCCCGGCAAACUGGGAAGACUGGGAGUGCCCGACCACCACGUGUGGCCCCUCACUCCUCCCUGAGCCCCCCCACCGGUUCCUUCCCCUCCCCGGGACAGACUCGGGCCCUUCCGCUGGUGUCUUACUCUGCAGAGUGUCGUUCAUGGCGAGGAGGGGUGUCUGUUAAUGGGUACGGAAAACACAACGCCUCUCCCUCCGCUGUGGGCUGAUGGAGCCAACGUUCGUGCUUCGGCAGCGAUAAAACGGAGAUCGGUGCCGUCCCUGUGAAAACAUCUGUGUUCAGUGGACACACAACCUCCUACCGCAGGUUCGACGGGUGGGCUGAGGUUGGAGACUUCUGUCCGUGGCUACGGUGGUGCCAGAGGACGUUCCCUUUCCCCUUGGCUGCAAGGUGGGNNNNNNNNNNNNNNNNNNNNNNNNNNNNNNNNNNNNNNNNNNNNNNNNNNN